CCUACGGGAGGCAGCAGUGAGGAAUAUUGGUCAAUGGCCGGAAGGCUGAACCAGCCAAGCCGCGUGAAGGACGAAGGUGCCAAGCAUUGUAAACUUCUUUUGUCAAGGGACAAAAUCAGGCUCGAGAGCCUGACCGAGGGUACUUGAAGAAAAAGCAUCGGCUAACUCCGUGCCAGCAGCCGCGGUAAUACGGAGGAUGCGAGCGUUAUCCGGAUUUAUUGGGUUUAAAGGGUGCGUAGGCGGACUGUUAAGUCAGCGGUAAAAGCCCGGGGCGCAACCCCGGCGAGCCGUUGAAACGGGGUGUCUAGAGAGGGCGAGAGGUAUGCGGAAUGCGCGGUGUAGCGGUGAAAUGCUUAGAUAUUGCGCAGAACUCCGAUUGCGAAGGCAGCAUACCGGCGGCGAACUGACGCUGAGGCACGAAAGCGUGGGUAUCGAACAGGAUUAGAUACCCGAGUAGUC
rnacentral:rRNA from 1 species